CUGAGCGGGUGACCGGCCACAUUGGGACUGAGACACGGCCCAAACUCCUACGGGAGGCAGCAGUGGGGAAUAUUGCAUAAUGGGCGAAAGCCUGAUGCAGCGACGCCGCGUGAGCGAAGAAGUAUUUCGGUAUGUAAAGCUCUUCAGCAGGGAAGAUAAUGACGGUACCUGACUAAGAAGCACGGCUAAAUACGUGCCAGCAGC
rnacentral:rRNA from 1 species